UGUAUAUGUUGUGUGUGUUGUACGUGCAUGGUGUGUUUUGUAUAUGUUGUGUGUGCGUGGUGUGUAUUGUAUAUGUUGUGUGCAUUGUGAGUGAUGUGCGUGCGUAGGGUGUGUUGCAUGUGUGUGUUGAGUGUUGUGUGUGUGUGGUGUGCACUGAAUGCAUAUGUUGUGUGUGGUAUGUGUUGAACAUGUAUGAUGUGU
rnacentral:lncRNA from 10 species